AUACGUAGGGGGCGAGCGUUGUCCGGAAUGACUGGGCGUAAAGGGCAUGUAGGCGGCCGAUUAAGUCUGGAGUGAAAGUCCUGCUUUCAAGGUGGGAAUUGCUUUGGAGACUGGUUGGCUUGAGUGCGGAAGAGGUAAGUGGAAUUCCCAGUGUAGCGGUGAAAUGCGUAGAGAUUGGGAGGAACACCAGUGGCGAAGGCGACUUACUGGGCCGUAACUGACGCUGAGGCGCGAAAGCGUGGGGAGCGAACAGGAUUAGAUACCCUGGUAGUCCACGCGGUAAACGAUGAAUGCUAGGUGUAGGGGGUAUCGACCCCUCCUGUGCCGGAGUGAACACAAUAAGCAUUCCGCCUGGGGAGUACGGCCGCAAGGUUGAAACUCAAAGGAAUCGACGGGG
rnacentral:rRNA from 1 species